rnacentral:rRNA from 1 species
ACGAACGCUGGCGGCGUGCUUAACACAUGCCAGUCGCACGGAAAGGCCCUGCUUUUGUGGGGUGCUCGAGUGGCGAACGGGUUAGUAACACGUUAGUAACCUGCCCUUGUCUUUGGGAUAACUUCGGGAAACUUGGGCUAAUACCGGAUAGGAGCUCCUGCUGCAUGGUGGGGGUUGGAAAGUUUUGGCGGUUGGGGAUGGACUCGCGGCUUAUCAGCUUGUUGGUGGGGUAGUGGCUUACCAAGGCUUUGACGGGUAGCCGGCCUGAGAGGGUGACCGGCAACAUUGGGACUGAGAUACGGCCCAGACUCCUACGGGAGGCAGCAGUGGGGAAUAUUGCACAAUGGGCGGAAGCCUGAUGCAGCAACGCCGCGUGCGGGAUGACGGCCUUCGGGUUGUAAACCGCUUUCGCCUGUGACGAAGCGUGAGUGACGGUAAUGGGUAAAGAAGCACCGGCUAACUACGUG